rnacentral:rRNA from 1 species
AGAGUUUGAUCCUGGCUCAGAACGAACGCUGGCGGCAUGCCUAACACAUGCAAGUCGAACGAACUCUUCGGAGUUAGUGGCGCACGGGUGCGUAACGCGUGGGAAUCUGCCCUUGGGUACGGAAUAACUCAGGGAAAUUUGUGCUAAUACCGUAUAAUGACUUCGGUCCAAAGAUUUAUCGCCCAAGGAUGAGCCCGCGUAAGAUUAGCUAGUUGGUGGGGUAAAAGCCUACCAAGGCGACGAUCUUUAGCUGGUCUGAGAGGAUGAUCAGCCACACUGGGACUGAGACACGGCCCAGACUCCUACGGGAGGCAGCAGUGGGGAAUAUUGGACAAUGGGCGAAAGCCUGAUCCAGCAAUGCCGCGUGAGUGAUGAAGGCCUUAGGGUUGUAAAGCUCUUUUACCCGGGAUGAUAAUGACAGUACCGGGAGAAUAAGCUCCGGCUAACUCCGUGCCAGCAGCCGCGGUAAUACGGAGGGAGCUAGCGUUGUUCGGAAUUACUGGGCGUAAAGCGCGCGUAGGCGGUCUUUUAAGUCAGAGGUGAAAGCCCAGUGCUCAACACUGGAAACUGCCUUUGAAACUGGGAAGACUUGAAUCAUGGAGAGGUCAGUGGAAUUCCGAGUGUAAGGGAAAUUCGAAU